rnacentral:rRNA from 1 species
UCGGGAAUUUUGGGCAAUGGGCGAAAGCCUGACCCAGCAACGCCGCGUGAAGGAUGAAGUAUUUCGGUAUGUAAACUUCGUAAGAAUAGGAAGAAUAAAUGACGGUACUAUUUGUAAGGUCCGGCUAACUACGUGCCAGCAGCCGCGGUAAUACGUAGGGACCAAGCGUUGUUCGGAUUUACUGGGCGUAAAGGGCGCGUAGGCGGCGUGGUAAGUCAUCUGUGAAAUCUCCGAGCUUAACUCGGAACGGUCAGAUGAUACUGCUGUGCUAGAGUACAGAAGGGGCAAUCGGAAUUCUUGGUGUAGCGGUGAAAUGCGUAGAUAUCAAGAGGAACACCUGAGGUGAAGACGGGUUGCUGGGCUGAUACUGACGCUGAGGCGCGAAAGCUAGGGUAGCAAACGGGAUUAGAUACCCUUGUAGUCCCUGAGCGGGCUGGCAAGGCGCAU